rnacentral:rRNA from 1 species
GGCUGCCCCGUCUCCAUGUGAAGUGUCUCCGACGAGUCGAGUUGUUUGGGAAUGCAGCUCAAAAUGGGUGGUAAAUUUCAUCUAAAGCUAAAUAUUGGCGAGAGACCGAUAGCGCACAAGUAGAGUGAUCGAAAGAUGAAAAGCACUUUGAAAAGAGAGUUAAAAAGUACGUGAAAUUGUUGAAAGGGAAGCGCUUGCGACCAGACUUGAUCUUUGGUGAUCAGCCGGGCUUCUGUCCGGUGCCCUCGCCGCUGAUCAGGCCAGCAUCGGUUCCGGGGGCGGGAUAAAAGGCGGGGGAAUGUGGCUUCCUUCGGGGAGUGUUAUAGCCCCUGUCACAAUGCCGCCACCUGGGACCGAGGACCGCGCUUCGGCUAGGAUGCUGGCGUAAUGGUCUUAAGCGACCCGUCUUGAAACACGGACCAAGGAGUCUAACAUCUAUGCGAGUGUUCGGGUGGAAAACCCUUGCGCGUAAUGAAAGUGAACGUAGGUGUGAACCCGCGAGGGUGCAACAUCGACCGGUCCCGAUGUCUUCGGAAGGAUCUGAGUAAGAGCAUAGCUGUUGGGACCCGAAAGAUGGUGAACUAUGCCUGAAUAGGGUGAAGCCAGAGGAAACUCUGGUGGAGGCUCGCAGCGGUUCUGACGUGCAAAUCGAUCGUCAAAUUUGGGUAUAGGGGCGAAA